rnacentral:rRNA from 1 species
CUACGGGACGCUCCAGUGGGGAAUAUUGGACAAUGGGCGAAAGCCUGAUCCAGCAAUGCCGCGUGAGUGAUGAAGGCCUUAGGGUUGUAAAGCUCUUUUACCCGGGAUGAUAAUGACAGUACCGGGAGAAUAAGCUCCGGCUAACUCCGUGCCAGCAGCCGCGGUAAUACGGAGGGAGCUAGCGUUGUUCGGAAUUACUGGGCGUAAAGCGCACGUAGGCGGCUUUGUAAGUUAGAGGCGAAAGCCUGGAGCUCAACUCCAGAAUUGCCUUUAAGACUGCAUCGCUCGAAUCCAGGAGAGGUCAGUGGAAUUCCGAGUGUAGAGGUGAAAUUCGUAGAUAUUCGGAAGAACACCAGUGGCGAAGGCGGCUGACUGGACUGGUAUUGACGCUGAGGUGCGAAAGCGUGGGGAGCAAACAGGAUUAGAUACCCGUGUAGUC